UGGGCUGGAGAGAUGGCUGAGAGGUU
rnacentral:piRNA from 1 species